rnacentral:rRNA from 1 species
AUUGAACGCUGGCGGCAGGCCUAACACAUGCAAGUCGAACGAGUGGCGGACGGGUGAGUAAUGUCUGGGAAACUGCCUGAUGGAGGGGGAUAAGUACUGGAAACGGUAACUAAUACCGCAUACACUCAGCUGUGCCCGUAUGGUAUUGACUAGUAGGUGGGGUAACGGCUCACCUAGGCGACGAUCCCUAGCUGGUCUGAGAGUAUGACCAGUCACACUGUAACUGAGACACGGUCCAGACUCCUACGGUAGGCAGCAGUGGGGAAUAUUGCACAAUGGGCGCAAGCCUGAUACAGCCAUGCCGCGUGUAUGAAGAAGGCCUUCGUGUUGUAAAGGACUUUCAGCGGGGAGGCGUUACCCGCAGAAGAAGCACCGGCUAACUCCGUGCCAGCAGCCGCGGUAAUAC